rnacentral:rRNA from 1 species
UACGUAGGGCGCAAGCGUUGUCCGGAAUUAUUGGGCGUAAAGAGCUUGUAGGUGGCUUGUCGCGUCUGCCGUGAAAACCCGAGGCUCAACCUCGGGCGUGCGGUGGGUACGGGCAGGCUAGAGUGUGGUAGGGGAGACUGGAACUCCUGGUGUAGCGGUGAAAUGCGCAGAUAUCAGGAAGAACACCGAUGGCGAAGGCAGGUCUCUGGGCCAUUACUGACACUGAGAAGCGAAAGCAUGGGUAGCGAACAGGAUUAGAUA